GAUGAACGCUGGCGGCGUGCCUAAUACAUGCAAGUCGAGCGAACAGACGAGGAGCUUGCUCCUUUGACGUUAGCGGCGGACGGGUGAGUAACACGUAGGUAACCUACCUAUAAGACUGGGAUAACUUCGGGAAACCGGAGCUAAUACCGGAUAAUAUUUCGAACCGCAUGGUUCGAUAGUGAAAGAUGGCUUUGCUAUCACUUAUAGAUGGACCUGCGCCGUAUUAGCUAGUUGGUAGGGUAACGGCUUACCAAGGCAACGAUACGUAGCCGACCUGAGAGGGUGAUCGGCCACACUGGAACUGAGACACGGUCCAGACUCCUACGGGAGGCAGCAGUAGGGAAUCUUCCGCAAUGGGCGAAAGCCUGACGGAGCAACGCCGCGUGAGUGAUGAAGGUCUUCGGAUCGUAAAACUCUGUUAUUAGGGAAGAACAAACGUGUAAGUAACUGUGCACGUCUUGACGGUACCUAAUCAGAAAGCCACGGCUAACUACGUG
rnacentral:rRNA from 1 species